rnacentral:rRNA from 1 species
UACGGGGGGGCAAGCGUUGUUCGGAAUUACUGGGCGUAAAGGGCUCGUAGGCGGCCAACUAAGUCAGGGGUGAAAUCCUGGAGCUCAACUCCAGAACUGCCUUUGAUACUGGAGAGCUUGAGUCCGGGAGAGGUGAGUGGAACUCCGAGUGUAGAGGUGAAAUUCGUAGAUAUUCGGAAGAACACCAGUGGCGAAGGCGGCUCACUGGCCCGGUACUGACGCUGAUGUGCGAAAGCGUGGGGAGCA